CAGUCGCCGCGGGAACACGGAGGGUGCAAGCGUCAAUCGGAAUUACUGGGCGUAAAGCGUGCGUAGGCGGUUCGUUAAGUCUGUUGUGAAAGCCCCGGGCUCAACCUGGGAAUGGCAAUGGAUACUGGCGAGCUAGAGUGUGUCAGAGGAUGGUGGAAUUCCCGGUGUAGCGGUGAAAUGCGUAGAGAUCGGGAGGAACAUCAGUGGCGAAGGCGGCCAUCUGGGACAACACUGACGCUGAGGCACGAAAGCGUGGGGAGCAAACAGGAUUAGAUACCCCGGUAGUCCCUGUCUCUUAUAC
rnacentral:rRNA from 1 species